UGGGGAAUAUUGCACAAUGGGCGGAAGCCUGAUGCAGCAACGCCGCGUGCGGGAUGACGGCCUUCGGGUUGUAAACCGCUUUCGCCUGUGACGAAGCGUGAGUGACGGUAAUGGGUAAAGAAGCACCGGCUAACUACG
rnacentral:rRNA from 1 species